rnacentral:rRNA from 1 species
UCAAGUUAUUAAGGGUGCAGGGCGGAUGCCUUGGCACUAGGAGCCGAUGAAGGACGUGAUAAGCUGCGAUAAGCUUCGGGGAGUUGCACGUAAACUUUGAUCCGAAGAUUUCCGAAUGAGGAAACUCACUUAGAGUAAUGUCUAAGUAUCAUUAAGUGAAUACAUAGCUUAAUGAGGGGAACUCAGGGAACUGAAACAUCUAAGUACCUGAAGGAAGAGAAAGAAAUUCGAUUCCGUAAGUAGCGGCGAGCGAACGCGGAUUAGCCCAAACCAAUAAAGUUUUCUUUAUUGGGGUUGCGGACAUAUCAUAACGAAGAGGUAUCGUAAUUGAAGAGGUUUGGAAAGACCCACCACAGAAGGUAAUAGUCCUGUAUGUUAAACGAGAAGACUUUAGAUAUGAUCCAGAGUACCACGGGACACGUGAAACCCUGUGGGAAGCAGGAGGGACCACCCUCCAAGGCUAAAUACUACCUAGUGACCGAUAGCGUAUAGUACCGUGAGGGAAAGGUGAAAAGAACCCCGGGAGGGGAGUGAAAUAGAACCUGAAACCCUGCACUUACAAGCUGUGGAAGCACAUUUCUUGUGUGACCGCGUACUUUUUGUAGAACGGGCCAACGAGUUACGUUAAGUAGCAAGGUUAAGCACUUAAGGUGCGGAGCCGUAGCGAAAGCGAGUUUUAACUGAGCGUUCAGUUACUUGACGUAGACCCGAAACCGGGCGACCUACCCAUGAGCAGGAUGAAGCGAAAGUAAAAUUUCGUGGAGGUCCGAACCCACGAGCGUUGAAAAGCUCGGGGAUGACUUGUGGGUAGCGGUGAAAUUCCAAUCGAGCCCGGAGAUAGCUGGUUCUCCCCGAAAUAGCUUUAGGGCUAGCCUCAAGGUGAGAGAUACGGAGGUAGAGCACUGAAUGUCCUAGGGGGUAUUGCACCUACCGAAGACUAUCAAACUCCGAAUGCCGUCAUCUUAUACUUGGGAGUCAGACUGUGGGUGAUAAGAUUCAUAGUCGAAAGGGCAACAGCCCAGAUCGUCAGCUAAGGUCCCUAAAUGUAAGUUAAGUGGUAAAGGAUGUGGGAUUGCACAGACAACCAGGAUGUUGGCUUAGAAGCAGCCACUCAUUCAAAGAGUGCGUAAUAGCUCACUGGUCGAGUGAUCCUGCGCCGAAGAUUUCCGGGGCUAAAACUUACUACCGAAGCUACGGCAUCAGUAAUGAUGGGUAGGGGAGCUUCCCAUACGGGUUGAAGCAUGACCGUAAGGACAUGUGGACAGUAUGGGAGUGAGAAUGUUGGCAUGAGUAGCGAGAUGUGGGUGAGAAUCCCACAGGCCGUAAACCCAAGGUUUCCAGGGGAAGGUUCGUCCGCCCUGGGUUAGUCGGGACCUAAGCUGAGGCCGAAAGGCGUAGGUGAUGGACAACAGGUUGAUAUUCCUGUACUACCGAUAACCGUUUGAGAGAAGGGAUGACACAGUAGGAUAAGCUAAGCACACUGUUGGUUAUGUGUGCCCAAGCAUUGAGGCAGUCAAAGUAGGCAAAUCCGCUUUGAUAAUGCUGGGAUGUGAUGGGGAGCGAAAUUUAGUAGCGAAGUAGCUGAUUUCACACUGUCAAGAAAAGUCUCUAUCGAGGUUAAAGGUACCCGUACCGCAAACCGACACAGGUGGGUGAGGAGAGUAUCCUAAGGCCAGCGAGAGAACUGUUGUUAAGGAACUCGGCAAAAUGACCCCGUAACUUAGGGAUAAGGGGUGCCACCAUCAGGUGGCCGCAGAGAAUAGGCCCAAGCGACUGUUUACCAAAAACAUAGGUUUCUGCUAAGUCGCAAGACGAUGUAUAGGAGCUGACGCCUGCCCGGUGCUGGAAGGUUAAGGGGAUCUGUUAGAGUAAUCGAAGCAGUGAACUUAAGCCCCAGUAAACGGCGGCCGUAACUAUAACGGUCCUAAGGUAGCGAAAUUCCUUGUCGGGUAAGUUCCGACCCGCACGAAAGGCGUAACGAUUUGGGCACUGUC